CCCGCUGAACUUAAGCAUAUCAGUAAGCGGAGGAAAAGAAACUAACCAGGAUUCCCCUAGUAACGGCGAGUGAAGCGGGAAGAGCUCAAAUUUAAAAUCUGGGAGCUUUAGGUGGCUCCCCGAAUUGUAGUUUGAAGUGGCGUGUUCUGUGGCGGCAGCCUGGCGGGUCCAAGUCCCUUGGAACAGGGCGUCAGAGAGGGUGAUAACCCCGUGUCGUGGCCCGCUCCGCUUUUCGCCGCCGCAAAUAUGACGCGUCUACCAAGAGUCGGGUUGCUUGGGAAUGCAGCCCAAAGUGGGUGGUAAACCUCAUCUAAGGCUAAAUAACGGCGAGAGACCGAUAGCGAACAAGUACCGUGAGGGAAAGAUGAAAAGAACUUUGAAUAGAGAGUUAAACAGUACGUGAAAUUGUUAAAAGGGAAACGCUUGAAGUCAGUCGCGUCAUCCAGGGAUCAACCUUGCUUUUGCUUGGUGUACUUUCUGGUUGACGGGUCAGCAUCAAUUUUGACCAUUGGAAAAAGAUUAAGGGAAUGUGGCAUACAUAGUGAUGUGUUAUAGCCCUUGGUUGCAUACAAUGGUUGGGAUUGAGGAACUCAGCACGCCGCAAGGCCGGGUUUUUAUUAACCACGUACGUGCUUAGGAUGUUGGCAUAAUGGCUUUAAUCGACCCGUCUUGAAACACGG
rnacentral:rRNA from 1 species